rnacentral:rRNA from 1 species
UACUCGAGUGGCGAACGGGUGAGUAACACGUGGGUGAUCUGCCCUGCACUUCGGGAUAAGCUUGGGAAACUGGGUCUAAUACCGUAUAGGACCGCACUUUAGUGUGUGUGGUGGAAAGUUUUUUCGGUGUAGGAUGAGCUCGCGGCCUAUCAGCUUGUUGGUGGGGUAAUGGCCUACCAAGGCGGCGACGGGUAGCCGGCCUGAGAGGGUGUACGGCCACAUUGGGACUGAGAUACGGCCCAG